AAGCUGAGAAAUUUUCCAAAGAAAGUCAAGUACAGCUGAACAGCUAAAAAAGCAGUUGACACGCACCCCAAUAGAUAUCGUAGUCCUUGGUGAGUUCUGGAAUUUGCAAGCUUCUCCCUUCUCUAUUUCUUGAUUUGCAAAAUAUUUUUCUGCAAACAGGUACUUAUUGUUCAUUGGCAUGUACUUUAUUGUUCAGGCAGAACCAUCUUUAGAGAGGGAUGAGAUGCUUUUAAGUACAAGCCAUGAGCGGGUGGUAUACACCAUCCCUGGAAUUCUGACUCUGGAGGUUUUUGAUAGUGAAGGCUGUUCAGUCUCAUGGCUUCACUCUGGACCACAGUGAUGUGUAUUAAUGUUAUACUGCCUUCACUCUCUACUCUAACUUUGAAAUGUGACUUGCUUUAUUAUAUUCCAACAAAUACAUAGGUGAGUUUCCAUCCUUAACAGGUGUACUAACUGAGAUCCAAUUAGAAUACCUUUCUGUAGACAAAUGCCAUCAAAAUUAAAACACACUGAUAUGGUUUCCAAACUCUACACUUGAGAUUUAAGCUGUUCUUCAGCUUUAGAUGAGAGGAAAAAUUUAUAUUUAGUUGUAUUAAACUUAUCUAUAUGAUGAAACUGAGUAUAUUUGAAUAGGUAAGGAACUAUUAGUGGGGGGACCUGAAAACAGCUCAAAAACAAAAAGAAAGAAAACCAACCAUACAGAAUUAGAGAAAAUGUAAGGCACCUUGAAUGCAUGUUGGGAGGCAUUUUUGAAAGUGACUAUUGCACAGAGGUUGUUUAAAACUAGAUGUUUUGAACCUAGUGCUCUGUAACUAUCUGCUGAAUAAAUGGGUGAACAAAUGAAGAUGAAUUCCUGCUGCGUUGUGUGUCAGUUUGUGGGACAACCUCAUGUCAAUUACAUUUAAAUGGUUUUUCUAAACAUGUGGUGACCAAAUAAAAUAUUCCAUGAUUCAGUGUGCAAAGUGAAAAAUAUUUUCAAUGCAAUAAUUAAUAAUCAACUUGAACUUUACAGGCUGGUUGCUUUUAGAGAACCAAGUGUACCAUAGAGUUUAUAGAACUGUGGGAAGAACAUUACAUGGAGUGGAGCCCAUGUUUCACUCAAUUGCCAUCAAAUCUGUCCCCUGCUAAUUUUAGAUCAGCCUGUAUAAAUACAGCAUGUUAACGGUUAGGAAUUGCAGAGUGAAUACUUGAAUUGUCUUUGGUAAAAUUUGUCAACGUCAGGUUUCAAAGAAGUAUUUAAGCCUGGAGACUCCACUAGUGAUCAACACAUGCGAAUAUAAGAGAUUGAAGGAGCUGAAAGAUGGUCAGCCCCGAGGUGAGGCAGCAUUAUUCACGGCUCUGUCUUCCUCCCCAAAGUACCGAGUCACAUCUGAGGACAGACGCUCAGCCCCUCCUGGAACACAGAUGCAUUCAGACCCAAGGGGAGCAGCCCCAACCAUUUGUACAGUUCAAGGGGUGAGGAGACGAAGUUUUACGAAGGAAGGAAUUAGUGCAGCCAAACAGGUACACAUCAUCUUCUAGAUGUAAACUGGCUGCCAUACCCAUGCCUACCUGUCCGCUGCAUAGCCCAAGGUGAAUGCCCCGGCCAGGAAG